rnacentral:rRNA from 1 species
GAUGAACGCUGGCGGCGUGCUUAACACAUGCAAGUCGAACGAAGCAUUUGCGACAGAUUUUUUCGGAAUGAAGUUGCUUAUGACUGAGUGGCGGACGGGUGAGUAACGCGUGGGUAACCUGCCUUGUACUGGGGGAUAGCAGCUGGAAACGGCUGGUAAUACCGCAUAAGCGCACAAUGUUGCAUGACAUGGUGUGAAAAACUCCGGUGGUAUAAGAUGGACCGCGUCUGAUUAGCUAGUUGGUGAGAUAACAGCCCACCAAGGCGACGAUCAGUAGCCGACCUGAGAGGGUGACCGGCCACAGUGGGACUGAGACACGGCCCAGACUCCUACGGGAGGCAGCAGUGGGGAAUAUUGCACAAUGGAGGAAACUCUGAUGCAGCGACGCCGCGUGAGUGAAGAAGUAAUUCGUUAUGUAAAGCUCUAUCAGCAGGGAAGAUAGUGACGGUACCUGACUAAGAAGCUCCGGCUAAAUACGUG